rnacentral:rRNA from 1 species
GAUGAACGCUGGCGGCGUGCCUAAUACAUGCAAGUCGAACGAGGUGCUUUUGUAGCAAUACGAGAGUAUCCUAGUGGCGAACGGGUGAGUAACGCGUUGGUGACCUACCCCAAAGUGUGGGAUAACAGUCCGAAAGGACUGCUAAUACCGCAUGUGGUUAUCGGAUUUAGAAACUGAUAACUAAAGGAGCAAUUCGCUUUGGGAGGGACCUGCGUCCCAUCAGCUAGUUGGUGAGGUAAUGGCUCACCAAGGCUACGACGGGUAGGGGACCUGAGAGGGUGACCCCCCACAAUGGAACUGAAACACGGUCCAUACACCUACGGGAGGCUG